AGAGUUCAAGAGUACGUGAAACUGUAUGGCAGUAAACGCAGCCUUCCUCGAAGUUUCCCUGGUGAACCCAGCCUUGGGUUUGGCCAGCUCCUGUACUCGGAUCAGCAAUGACUGAGUGCGGGAUGUCUGUCUAAUCCACGGGUGCAACUUUACCAGGUGUUACGGUGGGAACUGUUGGGACCGGACCAAAGGCUCGGGAUGAAGUUCUCUCUUCGGAGUUAGCUCCUGAUGUCCUGGCUUCGGAUCCGACAGGCAUGUGACCAACUUGUACAGCAAGCAACCCUUCUGUUGCGGUUGGUCGUUCCCCACCGAGUAGGUCGGUGGAGGCUGUGACCCGUCUUGAAACACGGA
rnacentral:rRNA from 1 species